GUAGGUGGCAAGCGUUGUCCGGAAUUAUUGGGCGUAAAGCGCGCGCAGGCGGUUCUUUAAGUCUGAUGUGAAAGCCCACGGCUCAACCGUGGAGGGUCAUUGGAAACUGGAGAACUUGAGUACAGAAGAGGAAAGCGGAAUUCCACGUGUAGCGGUGAAAUGCGUAGAGAUGUGGAGGAACACCAGUGGCGAAGGCGGCUUUCUGGUCUGUAACUGACGCUGAGGCGCGAAAGCGUGGGGAGCAAACAGGAUUAGAUACCCUGGUAGUCCACGCCGUAAACGAUGAGUGCUAAGUGUUAGGGGGGUUUUCCGCCCCCCUUAGUGCUGCAGCUAACGCAUUAAGCACUCCCGCCUGGGAGUACGGCCGCAAGGCUG
rnacentral:rRNA from 1 species